UACAGAGGGUGCAAGCGUUGUUCGGAAUCAUUGGGCGUAAAGCGCACGUAGGCGGCUUGUUAAGUCGGAUGUGAAAGCCCCAGGCUCAACCUGGGAAGUGCAUUCCGAAACUGGCGAGCUUGAAUGUCGGAGAGGCAGUGGAAUUCCGAGUGUAGAGGUGAAAUUCGUAGAUAUUCGGAAGGAACACCAGUGGCGAAGGCGACUGCCUGGACGAACAUUGACGCUGAGGUGCGAAAGCGUGGGAGCAACAGGAUAGCAUACCCGUGAG
rnacentral:rRNA from 1 species